rnacentral:rRNA from 1 species
GUGGGGAAUCUUCCGCAAUGGACGAAAGUCUGACGGAGCAACGCCGCGUGAGUGAAGAAGGUUUUCGGAUCGUAAAGCUCUGUUGUUUGAGACGAACGUGCAAUUUUUGAAUAAGGAAUUGUAAUGACGGUAUUAAACGAGAAAGCCACGGCUAACUACGUGCCAGCAGCCGCGGUAAUACGUAGGUGGCAAGCGUUGUCCGGAAUUAUUGGGCGUAAAGGGAGCGCAGGUGGGAAAGUCAGUCGAUUUUAAAAGUGCGGGGCUCAACCCCGUGAGGGAAUCGAAACUACUUUUCUUGAGUGCAGGAGAGGAAAGCGGAAUUCCUAGUGUAGCGGUGAAAUGCGUAGAUAUUAGGAGGAACACCAGUGGCGAAGGCGGCUCACUGGCUCGAUACUGACGCUGAGGUGCGAAAGCGUGGGGAGCAAACAGGAUUAGAAACCCGAGUAGUCC